ensembl:miRNA Mir1929 microRNA 1929
UUAGAACUGGGAGGUCUGCUAGGACUUUAUAGAGCAGAGGUUUGCAGCCCGUGACACUCAACUCAUGGAGACCUAGGUGGCCUUGGGUUCCGG